rnacentral:rRNA from 1 species
UUCGAUCACCGAAGUUAAGCAUCGUAGAGCCAGGUCAGUACUUAGAUGAGGGACCGCUUGGGAACACCUGGUACUGUAAG